rnacentral:rRNA from 1 species
UGGGGAAUCUUCCGCAAUGGACGAAAGUCUGACGGAGCAACGCCGCGUGGGUGACGAAGGUUUUCGGAUCGUAAAACCCUGUCAAGAAGGAAGAAAAAAGACGGUACUUCUGAAGGAAGCCCCGGCUAACUACGUGCCAGCAGCCGCGGUAAUACGGAGGAUCCGAGCGUUAUCCGGAUUUAUUGGGUUUAAAGGGUGCGUAGGUGGUCUUUUAAGUCAGCGGUGAAAGUUUGUGGCUCAACCAUAAAAAUGCCGUUGAAACUGUAAGACUUGAGUGCGUUUGAGGUAGGCGGAAUGCGUGGUGUAGCGGUGAAAUGCUUAGAUAUUAGGAGGAACACCAGUGGCGAAGGCGGCUUACUGGACUGUAACUGACGUUGAGGCUCGAAAGCGUGGGGAGCAAACA